AGCGGGGUCGCCCAGCGGCAGGGCAUGCGGCUCAUAACCGCAACGGCGCGGGUUCGACUCCCGCCCCCGCAACCA
rnacentral:tRNA from 1 species